UUCUCCUCGUACAACUCGUAAAAAUUCUUAAUUAUGUGGGGCAUUAAGUUGCAUUGUGUGUGCUUGCUUUCGACUAAGGACCGAAAUUACGGCAACUUGGAUGAUGGGAGGCUUCUUUGGAUCUAUGAACUUGGUUCCAAUUCAUUGAAGGUGAUGAUACGAAGAAAGGUCUAAAAUAUCGUUAGACUCAUAAAUCCUCCAUUUGAUUUCUUACUUGUUCUUCUUCACUCGGCAAACACCUCCCCUUCUGGUCACAAACACAUUUUUCUGAUUUGGAAAUGGUCCGUCAGUCAUACCCACCGAUCAAUCCCUUAUUUGUGCUUUUGGGAAAAAUCUGGGAACUUGUGCAGCAACUUACUGCAUGUAAGCCUUUGAAGAUUUCUUUCUUUCUUUGUUAACAAGGAAACUGAUAUGGAUGAACACACAUAUGCAUGCCUGGAGAGCCACAUAUAAUAUUACAAUUCUUUUGUGGGUUUCGAUCCACUAAUGUUUUUCUAUAUGAGUAAGCCUUUCUCUUCAUUUUCUUAAGCGAUUGAAAGUCAACAGAUACACACACACACAGAGGAUAUACACACACGGGGUCACGGAGAGAAAAGAAAAUUAUAUCACAGAGAAAAAUCAGAAAUUAUCAAUGGCGAGAAAUUUUAAGAGAAAUUUCUCAUACAUUAUGUAAAUAUCCAUGUAUUAACUCAAUCAAUCUAACAAAGAACCUUGUCAGAAACUUGUUCUCAUUUUCCAGGAAUAUGUGUGUAUGAUAUGGGAGGAGAAAUCCCCCAAGCAAUCACAUGCCGGCGUAAUCAAAACAGCGUCAAAGAUUUCUUCUUAACUACGUUGCACAAGCGGCGUAAGAACCAAUUCUUCUCAGCUCAGCCGACCACUCACAUUCAGCUGGAAACAUAGAAAAAGGAGUUCAAAUUAAACAAAUAAAUUGUGUGUACUUAUGCGCUUAGGUUACUCUAAUUUCUUGGUAGUUCUGUGGAAACCAAACUGCAUGAUACGAACCCUAACGUCCCUCCCAAUCGGCAACUAUAAAUAUUUCCAACUUCAAUGCAAAAUCCAGAAAUUGAUAUCCUUUAUACACCUUCUGUGUACAAGUUUAAUUAAGUUGAUCAUUAGCAACUAUGUCUUCUGACUCAGAUCCGCUAGAUGCUCAAAGUGUUUUAGGAAGGCCCAAAACGAAUUAUUCGUCAUCCCAGUCAUCUUUUCAGAGGGCUGGAGGCUCGUAUCUUCCAAACGCUAAGGGUGCUCUAGGAAGGGACGAUAUGAAGUCUUCGUCAUCCCAGUAAUCUUUUCAGAAUGGUGGAGGCUCCUAUCUGCCAAAUACUCAUAUUGCUCUUGGAAGGGACACGAAAAAAACUGAAAAAAAAAACAAGUGAAGAAUUAUAUAUGCAGACUGCUGCAGUAGGGUUAUAUACUGUAUAAUUGAAUUAUUGAUUAAUUUGUUGGCAACUAUGUGGUAUACAUAAUACAGUUGGUCAUAAAUAAGCACAGUUGCAUAUUUCUUUUUCAAGGUUAGAACAUGUACGUUAUAAUUUCUUCAGUUCAGUUAGCAUUAUUUUAUUGUGAAAAUGGGUGGGUGCUGCUAAGAACAAAUCCCACUAGGAUGUAUCAAAAGAAAUGCAUUAAUAUAUUAUUUGAUUUUGUUCUACAGUUGAUGUGCAUAGAUUAAAUAAAAAGGGAAAUGAUAAACACACACCUUUUAUAGCUUUAUACACACCCCUGGCUAAUCAUGUCCGUUGUUUUCGUUUGAUUUAUUCAAUCCGAUGGCCUGGAACAAAGAGGGGUGUGGGAAAAGCUAUAAAAGGUGUGUGAAAAUCAGCUCCCAAUAAAAAAGGGUAGAAAGAUAUUUUAGUUAAAUUAAGUGAAAAAGGGUGGAAAACUAUUUUAUUAGCUCCCUAAAACAUUUAUACUCCAACCAUACCAUUUAAUUUAGGGAGCCAUAAUAAAUAGGAACCAGUAGAAAUGGAGUUUUUU
rnacentral:lncRNA from 1 species